rnacentral:rRNA from 1 species
GUGGGGAAUAUUGGACAAUGGGCGAAAGCCUGAUCCAGCCAUGCCGCGUGUGUGAAGAAGGUCUUCGGAUUGUAAAGCACUUUAAGUUGGGAGGAAGGGUAGUAACCUAAUACGUUGCUACUUUGACGUUACCGACAGAAUAAGCACCGGCUAACUUCGUGCCAGCAGCCGCGGUAAUACGAAGGGUGCAAGCGUUAAUCGGAAUUACUGGGCGUAAAGCGCGCGUAGGUGGUUCAGUAAGUUGGAAGUGAAAUCCCCGGGCUCAACCUGGGAACUGCUGUCAAAACUGCUGAGCUAGAGUACGGUAGAGGGUGGUGGAAUUUCCUGUGUAGCGGUGAAAUGCGUAGAUAUAGGAAGGAACACCAGUGGCGAAGGCGACCACCUGGACUGAUACUGACACUGAGGUGCGAAAGCGUGGGGAGCAAACAGGAUUAGAAACCCGAGUAGUCC